rnacentral:rRNA from 1 species
AAGCGGAGGAAAAGAAACUAACAAGGAUUCCCCUAGUAACUGCGAGUGAAGCGGGAAAAGCUCAAAUUUAAAAUCUGGUGGUCUUUGGCCAUCCGAGUUGUAAUCUAGAGAAGUGUUACCCGCGUCGGACCGUGUAUAAGUCUCCUGGAAUGGAGCGUCAUAGAGGGUGAGAAUCCCGUCUUUGACACGGACUACCGAGGCUUUGUGGUGCGCUCUCAACGAGUCGAGUUGUUUGGGAAUGCAGCUCAAAAUGGGUGGUAAAUUCCAUCUAAAGCUAAAUAUUGGCGAGAGACCGAUAGCGAACAAGUACCGUGAGGGAAAGAUGAAAAGAACUUUGGAAAGAGAGUUAAACAGUACGUGAAAUUGCUGAAAGGGAAACGCUUGAAGUCAGUCGCGUUGGCCGGAAAUCAGCCUUGCUUUUGCAUGGUGUACUUUCUGGUUGACGGGCCAGCAUCAGUUUUGACCGGUGGAAAAAGUUCAAGGGAAUGUGGCAUCUUCGGAUGUGUUAUAGCCCUUGUUCGUAUACAUCGGUUGGGACUGAGGAACUCAGCACGCCGAAAGGCCGGGUCUUUGACCACGUUCGUGCUUAGGAUGCUGGCAUAAUGGCUUUAAUCGACCCGUCUUGAAACACGGACCAAGGAGUCUAACAUGCCUGCGAGUGUUUGGGUGGAAAACCCGGACGCGCAAUGAAAGUGAAAGUUGAGAUCCCUGUCAUGGGGAGCAUCGACGCCCGGACCAGAAGAUUCUCUGACGGCC